CGAGGAAACUUGUGCUAAUACCGGAUAAGUCUUUACGGAGAAAGCUUUAUGCACCAUUGGAUGAGCCUGCACUUGAUUAGUUUGUUGGUGGGGUAAUGGCCUACCAAGACUGUGAUCAAUAGCUGAUUUGAGAGGAUGAUCAGCCACAUUGGGACUGAGACACGGCCCAAACUCCUACGGGAGGCAGCAGUGGGGAAUCUUGCACAAUGGAGGAAACUCUGAUGCAGCGAUGCCGCGUGAGUGAAGAAGGCCCUUGGGUUGUAAAGCUCUUUCGUCGGGGAAGAAAAUGACUGUACCCGAAUAAGAAGGUCCGGCUAACUUCGUGCCAGCAGCCGCGGUAAUACGAAGGGACCUAGCGUAGUUCGGAAUUACUGGGCUUAAAGAGUUCGUAGGUGGUUGAAAAAGUUAGUGGUGAAAUCCCAGAGCUUAACUCUGGAACUGCCAUUAAAACUUUUCAGCUAGAGUAUGAUAGAGGAAAGCAGAAUUUCUAGUGUAGAGGUGAAAUUCGUAGAUAUUAGAAAGAAUACCAAUUGCGAAGGCAGCUUUCUGGAUCAUUACUGACACUGAGGAACGAAAGCAUGGGUAGCGAAGAGGAUUAGAUACCCUCGUAGUCCAUGCCGUAAACGAUGUGUGUUAGACGUUGGAAAUUUAUUUUCAGUGUCGCAGGGAAACCGAUAAACACACCGCCUGGGGAGUACGACCGCAAGGUUAAAACUCAAAUGAAUUGACGGGGACCCGCACAAGUAGUGGAGCAUGUGGUUUAAUUCGAAGAUACGCGCAGAACCUUACCAACACUUGACAUGUUCGUCGCGACUCUAAGAGAUUAGAGUUUUCGGUUCGGCCGGACGAAACACAGGUGCUGCAUGGCUGUCGUCAGCUCGUGUCGUGAGAUGUUGGGUUAAGUCCCGCAACGAGCGCAACCCUCACUUUUAGUUGCCAUCAUUAAGUUGGGCACUCUGAAAGAACUGCCAGUGAUAAGCUGGAGGAAGGUGGGGAUGACGUCAAGUCCUCAUGGCCCUUACGUGUUGGGCUACACACGUGCUACAAUGGUAUCUACAACAGGAAGCAAGACUGCGAAGUUAAGCAAAUCCCUAAAAGAUACCUCAGUUCGGAUU
rnacentral:rRNA from 1 species